GUGCUCUCUCUUGUUGUCAUG
rnacentral:miRNA from 1 species